rnacentral:lncRNA from 1 species
CUAAUGGUCCAAGAUUAAACAGAGAUAAUUCUCUUUUAAGGAUCUCAUAAAAGCAAAUAUUGAAGGAGCCUAUAAAAACGCCGAUCUAAACAUCAGAAUGCACUGAAAACCAACAGUCACAGAAGUAACAUGUAGAGUGGCCAGGGCCUGUUGAGAGUGAGCAUUUGCUGAGGUAGCUUUCAUGGGGCAAGUGAAAGUGUCUGACAAGUAUUGGAGGUGGAAUCAAAAUCUCCUGGAGCUUUGCAGUCUUAUUUCUUGUAGUGAUUACAUCACUGGGGUCAAAUAUAACACAGGCACUGACAAUGGCCAGAAAUGCUCAUAAACACCCAAUUCUGCCCAGAGUGGGGAAGGCAAUCUAGUGUAUGGCAUCAGAAAGGAUUAUUUGUGGCAAAUGCUUACAAUGCCCAUUUGAAGUAGGAAAAAGUAUUUCUCUUCCUGGAGAGAAGACUGGGACCUACAUUACUCCCCUUAGGGAUGGGUUUAUUCACCUGAGGUUUGAGACCCACCAUCUUGGCCACCAUUUAGAAGAAGAGGAAUUGAACAGAGU